UAUUUUUACUAGGAAUUUUCCUUUUAAAGGCAAAUUCCUAGUAAAACUGGUUUACAUGUUGUCCUGAUCAAUCUUUGGAAAAG